CCCAUGUGGAAUCGCCUGUUUUCAUGGAACUUAAUAGGGUUGGGGAGUGUCUUCCUGAAUAUAGUGGUGCCCCCCUUUUGCCGGCAGACGAUCAACCAUUUUUGAUAUAUUGUUGGUCAAAGUUUUGGGCGAAUGUUUGACUACAGUUUGGAAUCACCGUAUCAAAUUAGCUCUCGUGGUAGUCUUGUGGAUACGAGCUUUGCUAAGGGGGUUCGGCCUCAGUUCGAGUCCUGCUGCCGACAUGAAUUUUCUUUCCUUUCAUUUUUUUGUUUAUUUAUGGGAUAUUUUGUUGUAGCAAGAAUGACUGAAACAUUGAAUUUUUUAUUAUUUUUUUUUUGUCAUUUUUGACAAGUAGAAUCAAAAUCUAGCAACUGUUAGUGAUCUCCA
rnacentral:lncRNA from 1 species